rnacentral:rRNA from 1 species
UGGGGAAUAUUGGACAAUGGGCGAAAGCCUGAUCCAGCCAUGCCGCGUGAGUGAAGAAGGCCUUCGGGUUGUAAAGCUCUUUUAGUCGGAAAGAAAGAGUUGCAAUGAAUAAUUGUGAUUUAUGACGGUACCGACAGAAAAAGCACCGGCUAACUACGUGCCAGCAGCCGCGGUAAUACGUAGGGUGCGAGCGUUAAUCGGAAUUACUGGGCGUAAAGGGUGCGCAGGCGGUCUUGCAAGUCAGAUGUGAAAGCCCCGGGCCUAACCUGGGAAUUGCGUUUGAAACUACAAGGCUAGAGUGCAGCAGAGGGGAGUGGAAUUCCAUGUGUAGCAGUGAAAUGCGUAGAGAUGUGGAAGAACACCGAUGGCGAAGGCAGCUCCCUGGGUUGACACUGACGCUCAUGCACGAAAGCGUGGGGAGCAAACA